UAACAUGUCUCGGCGCCACCAAACGCACACGCGAGAAACCAUUAAACAAAGUGACGAAAAAGACGCCGGAAACACAAAGAAAAUCAUUGUUCUUUCUUUGACUCUCCUAGAGAGAACAGUCAUAACUGCUGGAAGUCAUAGUCUGUAUCUGCUACACACCGAACAAAGCUAAAUAAACAUCACAAUUGUUACUUGAUGUGCAAAGUUUCUCUCUACAUAGUGGAUUGUCAAUGAUAAACCCACAGACACCGUCUACUUCUAUUAUUAUCAAGACUCUUUAAGAUAGCGCGUGCUGGCACAAAUUGCCAAGAAGUUCGUCAUUCUGCUGAUUACAAAUAAUCAUUGCUUCUCAAGUCAAUUUCGAUUUACAUCCCAAAUGAGUAUUUUGGAACCACCAUAGAACUUCUUAAGUAGUAAGUGAACAAAUUCAAGUCGCUUUAGUAUCCGUUAUUGUAGUUGGGUUUAGGCCAAAGUAUUUUGAAAACUAUGAAUGCUUUUUAUCUUUUAUCUCUCAUUAUAUACAAACUUACUCUCGUUCAUUUGAAUGACUUUCGAUGCUCGGUAAAACUGAAUUACUCUGCUCUGCUUUAAUUUACCUUACAAAUUUUAUAAUAUUUAAAUUUACAAUAUACGAUACAAAAUAUUAAAGUAAGUACAACAUAACCAUAUAUAUGAUACAAGCUACAAUAUAUAUAUAAUAAUAUAUUACAUAAUAUAUAUAUAAUAUAGUUGUUACAGUAUUAUUUCUACCAUUUUUUCGACACUUACAUAUAAAUGAACAUUUUAUAGUAUAACAUGUAAUCCUACAUUAUGCUGGCAAUGAAAGUUUCAAAUCGGCAUAAGUUACGGAUCAUAAUUUUUCCAAUAAGUUAUUAGCGAGCAUGACCAUUAGUAAUUCUGUUUUAGGAUUUUUAAUUACCUUUUUUCUUUGUUUUCUUAUAUUAUGCAUGCUUGUUUUUAUUAGCUACGCUUAAGAUCUUAUUUUGGUGACGAAACACUUUCGAAUUAAUUAUUUGGUAGAAGUUAAAAAAAAAAACAAUUCCCUUAUAAUUCCUCCAAAUAGAAAGCAUCUCUUUUAUUGAUGAAUAUUGGUUUUCGAAGUACUCAUCGUUUCUGCUCCAUGAUUUCUCGUCUCCAGUUAUGAUUUAGCUUUAAAAAUGGAUCAUUUUUUUGACGUUUGAGAAGCAAAUCAUAAUGCGACGGAUCAAUCUCUUUCUAUAAGGAUAUAUGGAACCCAUAUAUCGAUCUUUGAAAUAAAAUCAAGUCGUUUCACAUGAUUAUAAAUGGUCAGAUUCGACAGAUUUAAUCUCUUAGCGAUGUCUUGUGUUAUUAUUGGGUAGUUUGCAGUAACUUUAUUUUUAGUCUUUAUCAGCUUCAAUUGGCCUUCCAGGACGUGAUGCAUCUUCAAUAUCAAAAUUGCCGGAACGAAAUUUUUCAAAUCAGUUUGAGCACUGUUACGUUAAGACAUCUUUUCUAGAUAUGUCACAUAACUUUUCCCUCGCUUGAACAGCAUUUUUAUCUUUUUGGUAAUAAAAAAGCAAAAUAUGCCAAAAAUGUUGCUUUUGAUUUUUCAUUUUUGAUAAGACA